CAGUAGCCGCGGUAAUACGAAGGGUGCAAGCGUUAAUCGGAAUUACUGGGCGUAAAGCGUGCGUAGGCGGUGAGUUAAGUCUGCUGUGAAAUCCCCGGGCUCAACCUCGAAAUUGCGUCGGAUACUGCAUUGCUAGAGGAUUGUAGAGGAGAGUGGAAUUCAUGGUGUAGCAGUGAAAUGCGUAGAUAUCAUGAGGAAGACCAGUUGCGAAGGCGACUCUCUGGGCAAUUCCUGACACUGAGGCACGAAGGCUAGGGGAGCAAACGGGAUUAGAUACCCCGUAGUCCCUGUCUCUUAUACA
rnacentral:rRNA from 1 species